rnacentral:rRNA from 1 species
GCGCAGCAGGCGCGAAAACUUUACAAUGUGCGAAAGCACGAUAAGGGAACUCUGAGUGCCUCCUAAGGAGGCUGUUCAGGUGUCUAAAAAGCACCUGAAGGAAGGGCUGGGUAAGACCGGUGCCAGCCGCCGCGGUAACACCGGCAGCCCAAGUGGUAGCCACGUUUAUUGGGUCUAAAGCGUCCGUAGCCGGCUGGGUAAGUUCCUUGGGAAAUUUGGCUGCUUAACAGUCAAGCUUUCAGGGAAUACUGCCCGGCUUGGGACCGGGAGAGGUCAGAGGUACUCCAGGGGUAGGGGUGAAAUCCAUUAAUCCUUGGGGGACCACCGGUAGCGAAGGCGUCUGACCAGACCGGGUCCGACGGUGAGGGACGAAGGCUAGGGGCGCG